CCAUUUGCAGCGCCAUGGCUGACCUCAACAUCCUUUUUUUUUCUUGAGGUGAUUGCCUCACAUCUUGGGCAUGAACCAUGAGAGGUUCACCUGGGGUCGAUCGAUCUCGCUCACGCCGUUUGCUACCAGGUUUCUUCGCAACAGCUGUUUUGAAGUUGGCAGCCAGGACCAUGAGCAACGUAAACACGCAAUUGGAUCGAUGGGAGCUUGGAACUUCUCCCCAUUAAUGUGCCGCCAGCGUCUUCCACCGUUUUAUGAAAUGUACUACCCGCUGCUCCUAAAUACAGUACAAGUCUUUUUAAUGAUUUUAAUAUGAACUACAUAUGGAGCAAAAUAAGUGAAUCUACACUCUAAAAUAUGUCUAUAUACAUCUGUAUGUAAUCCUUAUUGAAAUUGAAAUCUCUAAAAAGACAUAUUUUUUUAAGGACGGAGGGAGUACUACGGAGUGUGUAAGUAGUUCCAGUGAUACUUUUCCUGCCCUAUCUGCCGCCAAUGCUUCACUUGUUCCGUGUUGGAAUGGGGCAUAUCUUUCGUUGCCCAUUAGUAUAGACGCCAAUGAGCAAUCAAACUAGUUUCCUCAUCGUAUCCUCUUGGGUUGUGCAGAGUUUGCAGUGAAAAACAUAAUCAGCUGUUAUUUGCAUAACUCUUCCAGUGUGAAUUACUACUACAAUCAGCAAAACUGCAUCCAUGUCAUUAUGGAUUUUGCACACAAAAAAACAUGAUACAGAAGCAUUGCAGAGGGCAGAUAAAACUUGCUAUCCAAAUCAUGGAAACAAAACUCAAUAGCGACAGACAGUCAACAGCAUCUCGCUAGUACAACUUCAGGUUACGUAUAUAGGAAUGAAAAUGCUAAAUGGUGGACGAGCUCCAUGGAGCUCGUUUUUUUGAAAAAAAAAACCCCGGAAAUUAUAGCUCCCAAGUUUCAAAAAAUCCUAAAAAGAUCACACGCGUUCAUACAGAUGUAAAUUUUAAAGAUGAUACUAUAAAUUAAUGGCGAGAGCUUCACUAGUUAGAGAAAAUCGUGAUUCUGAAAAUGGUGAACAUGUUUUGUGUAGCUCUUCAUCGUUAGAACGUGUAGAUUUUUCUCAGAAUAUUUUUAUUCAAAAUGUGUUUUUUGCUUCUUUUUGCUCAGGACAUUAAUAAUAUCCAAUCUAACCCAAAUAUCCAAUCCAAUUCACAGGUCGAUUGGUAUGGAUUUUUUUUCAGUACUACAGUACUGCAAAACUAUCUCAUCAUGCAAAAAAGAUUUUUUAAACAAACAUCAACAACAUAACACAGACAAUCAUAGCACAUGAGAUAAAACCCACUAGCCAGCAGAGUAACACAGCAACAAUAUAUAUCCAGAUCAUGGAAACAAUACUCUUAAUAGCAACUGUUAAGAGAAAGCAACAGCAGAGAAGGAACAAAUCUCGCUAGUACAACUUCAGGUUAUAUAGGACAUUGUAAACAUAGCAGGCAACUUUCCUCCUCAAACGACCAGAGCCUUACAGUCCAUUCCAUCCUUGCCUAACAAAAAUGCAACCUAAGACCUGGGCUUCUCCUUCUUCUCCUUGAAGAGAGCGAGAAGCGACACACCAGAUACCUUGACAACCUUGAACCUGACACCGGGAAUAUCUCCCACGGCAUGACCCUUACGACCGAAUCCAGCAAUCAGCACCUCGUCCUGAAGCAUCCAUCAAGUCAAGAGGUUAGGUUGGUUGCAUAUAGCAGACAUAUCACAUAUAUGCGAGCAAUGGAGGUUAGGUUGGCUGCAUAUAGCAGACAUAUCGCAUAUAUCUGAGAAAUGGGUGAGGGGCAC
rnacentral:lncRNA from 1 species